UAACCGUAAGUGAACCUGCGGAAGGAUCAUUCAUAACAGGCCCAGUAUGGGGGCCCUUUUAAAUUUCCAUAUUCACCUUGUGUGCAAUGUUUUUAAUUAUAUUUUUUAAACGCUUAAAAUUUUUUUUUUUAAAUUGUCUGAAAUAAAUAUUGUGAAUUUUUUUAAUUCAAAAUACAACUUUCAACAACGGAUCUCUUGGCUCUC
rnacentral:misc_RNA from 1 species